rnacentral:lncRNA from 1 species
UCCGGCUUCCCUCCCCAACUCUCUGUUUUACCCUCCCUCCCUACCCGACCCUCUCCUCUUCUGUCCUCAUAAUUUCUCCUCCCAUUUCCCACUGCUUUCGUUGAUGAUUCUGUCCUCAUCGUUUCUUCUCUCGGUCUCGGCGUUUGGUUUUUGAGGUAUGAAUAAACUUUUCAUUUCUUGAAGCAUUUUACAUGAUUCUUUUCGUAAUAAGGAGUUUCAGCCAUUUUUUGAAUGAGUUGGGUUUUUUCCCAGAAUUUUCCCUUUGCUUGUUUCUGCUAGUUCAAUUUCUUCGUUUUUCUUUUUGGUGCUAAAUACUCACUUGAAUAUCGAGUUAACUCUUUUUCUUUCUGCUCGUUCUAUUUUUUCGUUUUGCUUGUUUCAUUUUUUGGUGCUAGUUCCAGAACCGUUUUGCUUGUUAUACUAAUCGAUCCCAAGGAUCGGGUGGAAGCGAGGGGAAAUAAAUUUAUGCUAAGUGAUGCAUAUUGAUGGUGUGAAUGUAGUUCACACUUGUAAAGCAAAGCAGUAAAGCCGAUAAGAUAACUACUUGCUGAUCUGCAUGGAUUCUUUUUGACUUUGCAAAGCUUUUUUAGAUUGAAACAUAUGCUUUGCUUGCACAGUGUGAUCAAAUAAUGCAGAUGAUUGAAAAAAGUUGCACAAUUCCUAGUUUUCUUCUUUGAAAAACUCUUGUUUUGUACCAGAACCCACCCUUUCUGUUCCAUUUCUUAAUUUGUUUCACCUCCUUCAUUUUUCUUGGUAAAGGGAUUAAAAUGCAUCUACUCAACACAAUGUUAAUUUAGUUUUGUACUUUUUAUUAAUAUAAAUAUGGCUAAUUGUUGGUUUGUUUGAUGCAAACCAAUUCUACUUGUAUUUUUUAAUUUAGUAAUUACUUGUUAAAACAUUUAAGCUGACUAUGCCACCACAUUUAGCACAAGUCUCGGCUGUUCGGGAGGCUUUAUUAUGGUUAAACCCUGCCCAUAUGUGAAGGAUUUGAUUUGUGUUGAGAUCAAUUCUCAACACGUUUUCAAUGCCGUGGUACAUCUCAGAGUUCAGCACUCUCUUCAUCUUAAGGCACAAUUUCAAGUCUUUUCCUUCCCUUUGGAUGAAUAGAAGCACAAAUAAAAUGAAUGCUCUUGCAAAAGUGACUUUUAUUCAAACGAAUCGCAUCAUUUUUACCUUGAUUUUGUUCCUAGCCAUCUCGACCUCCUUCUUUAUAGAAGCUCCAUGUGCAAUCUCUUCUUUAUCCUGUUCUUAUUAUCCUGUUCUCUUAAUAUCAGAAUAGUAUCCUUCUUUAUAUCAACUAAAGCUUGACCAUCUUUAUAUAUACUAUCUAAUCUUCCUUUUAUGUUUUCUAUAUUGAACUUCAACUAUUUCUAUAAUUUUCUUAGAUGGGAAUUUAUCAGCUUUCCCUUUUCUCAUUACAGGUUUCUUGUUCCAACACUUCUUCAUCGUAGUCGUCCCCGAUUUGCUCAUUACAGGUUAGUUUUCCAUUGGUAUUCAUGGAGAUCAGCUAGUAUUUUUUACUGUAUAUAUAUAUAUAGUUAAAUUUUAAUUAUGAGAAUAUUAAUAAUCUGAGUUUGCUUAGCCAAGUGAUGAUCUUGUAUCCGGUUGAUGUUUUGGUAUAAAUGAGAUAUUGCAGUUCUAAGUUAUACAAUUGUGAGUUACUAAAAUGCGACCUGUAUGUAGAUAGAUAAACAAAAUUACGUUGUAAAUGUGAAAAUGCAAUAUAUAUAUUGAAAGAAAAAAAAGAAGAAGAGAUUUUAAAAGUUUAUCAAAAUUCAGUAUGUUGUUUAAAGAGAUUCUUUUUAUAUUACAAUAUCGAGGAUAAUCAGAGACUUUAUUUUGUAAAUCACAUUAACAAAUGCUUUACUCGCAUCAACAUUGGAUCCAAGCGAUAAUACAACUUAGAUAAGUGAACAUGUUUGGUGGUUAGUUUUGGGUUCAUUCGAUUAAAAAAUGCUCAAUUGUGGGUCAAAACUUUAUAAUCGGUACCGAUACAAAUAAUGCAAACAACUGAAAUUUUGGUUACUACAAAUGGAAUGUAAAGAUUACCCAAAAGCUUUUGUCGAGUAGCAAUAAAUGUAAAGAUUACCCGAUGACAAUGCUUAUCCGAUGACAAUGAUUACUCUUUAACAGUUUAUUUGUUGUUUAGUUGAAUAGAUUUUGCGGAAUCACUCAUUUCCUUUGUUUUUAUCUUGUUUUCAUAAUGUUUGCUGUAAUAUUGAUUUUGAAUCAUAUAUAUUCAAAGCUGCCAAGUUGGUAUAUUUUAUUAUCUAAAGGACUGGUUACUAAAAGAGAGGCUGCUUUGGUUAUUCGAUGAUUAUGUUUAUAAACUGAUUAUUUUUGUAACAUCGAUUUGCCUUUUCUCAUUACAGGUUCUUUGUUCCAACACUUCUACAUCGCAGUCGUCCCCGAUUUGCUCAUUACAG